rnacentral:lncRNA from 1 species
CUCUGAUCUCGGGUAUCUCGCUACAUUAAAUGGGGAUGUGGACCCCUGCCCUGCAGGGCCGCUGGGCAGAGUUGGGAAGUUCUGGGCGAAUGGCCGCUGGCACACAGGGGCUCGAAAUGUGUGCCCCCUCCCCACUCCACUGAGUUCUGCCCGCCUUUGGCCUCCCUCCUGGGCCGGCGGCUCUGUGGAGUCCACCCUCCGGGCCCCGCCGCCCACUGGGUGUUGAUUCACCCCGGCCACGAGCCUCUUGCCUCGGCCUGUGCUCUCUUCCUCCUUUUCUUGGUGGGCCCACUGCCUUCUCCGAUUGCCAAAGCUCCUCCCAGGGACGGGCGGGCGGCGGGGGGACCCCAUCCUCCCACAGAAUGUCUCCACCGCUUCCCCAUCCUCCCACCCUCACCACGCCCGGCUGAGGUCACCAGCGCGAGGCCUGGUCCAGGGACACGGGUCACAGUUGGUCCACUUAAUCAUCAUGGGGCAGGUAGGGCCCUGGCUGGUCCAGGGUCCCCCGCGGGGGCCAGGCUGGUGGAGGGGGUGGCCGCCAAAGGAUGAAUUCUGGGACAAAUGGUGCUCCGGCCCAUGGCAAGCGCGUGCACGGUGGAUGGCUGAGGGCGCGUGCAUUGAUGGCGGGGGCCGGGGGGAGGCAUCUUGGGGAAGGCUUCCUGGAGGAGGCGAGUCAGGAGCCAGGGGUGCAGAGGGGAGAUGAAGGGCGUGGGCACUGGGCCAGCUUGCCUGGGCUCGAGUCUCAGCUCGCCCCUUUCCCGCUGUGUGGCCCCGAUCAAGUUCACAUCUCUCUCUGAGCCUCGGUUUCCUCGUUUGGAAAAUGAGAAAAUGAUCGUAACACCCCUUGCAGAGGGUGGUGUGGAGGAAGUGAGACGAUGUAGACAAGGUGUCGGGAGCAGGCCGGGCACACAGCUAGCGCUUAAUACAGGUCAGCUGCUCUUCUUACUCUUACUAUCAGUGUGGUGGAAAGUUCUAGAAUGUCAGCUUCAGACAGGCCUGGGUGCAGGUCUCAGUUUUCCUCGCCUCUGGGUCCUCGAGGCCCUCCCUCUCCGCGCCCCAGCUUUCCUCACCUGGGAAUGGAGCUGUUUUGACCUCAUGGGGUUCAUUGUGAGCAUGAGGCGGGUGAAUCCUGUAAAUGCUCAGCACAGUGCCUGGCACACAGUAGGUGCUCAAGAAGUGGUUGGCGUCCCCCCGGCCUUGUGGCCUUGUGAGUAAGAGCAGGUUGGAGUGUCAGCCCGGUGCAUCCCAGCUCUGCCUGCCCAGCUUGCCGUGGGCCUUGGGGCCGUGGGCGGAAAGUGCCGGUCCUGGUGCCUGGCACAUAGUAGGUGCGUGGUCGGUGGGACUAAACUCGGGACCUUGUGUCCCCGAUGACGGUGUGAGGCCCCCCUGGUGACUUCCUUCCCUGUGAGGUGGGGUGGUGCUCCCACUGUUGCGGCGAGGAAGCUGAGGCUCGGAGAGGUGAGGUCGCCAGCUGGAGGCCGGGCCCUCCAUCUGCUUGGCUCCCGAGCCUACCUCUCUGUCAGGGGGUCCCUGGGUGUGCGCCCUGCUGGGGGACGUCCCGCUGGGCCCUCAGGGCCACCGUGCAUGCUGACAGAAGCUUUCUAGGGUUAAGGAGAGGAGUGACAGCCGCCACUCGGCACAGGGUCCCGGGGUCCACAGGCCGUUCCCAGGGCCCCUGUCCCGGGCUGGGGACAGGAGUGGCUCUGUGGAUAUGGCGCUGGCUCGGGGUCUUGGGGCAGCGGGCAGCGCCCCCAGGCCCGGCCGGGUCUGUCUCCUCCCCGACCCGGCCCCAGGGCACUAUGCUGUUUCUCGUUUGUCACUAUCCAGCCCUUUGGGCCAUGUUUUCUGUCCAGAGUCUGGAUCUCCUCCGGGCGUCUGAGAACGCCCUGCUCUGUGCGCAGAUUCCACGUCCCACCAAGGGCCGCCCUCCGCCAAACUCCGCACGCGGGCUCAUCCCUGCUCCCGCGCCUGUGCGUCUGUCGCUCCUUCUGUUGUUCUCUCUCCGUCUCACAGUUCAACUCAACUCAGUUCCUGCAUCUCGACUGCACUCAUCUUGGUCCCGUUAACUCGGUUUACCUCCGCUCUACGCACCUCAGUUCAGUUUAAAACUCAACUCAGCGUGAUUUAACCCAAGUCAACCCAACUCAGCUCAACUUAACUCACUUCAACGCAGUUCAACCGAGUUCACUCCACCCCAGCUCGCCUCAAGCCCCCUCUUCGACUCAUCCCAAGCUGGUCCCGCUCAGUCUCGGGCUCUUUUAGCUCGGCUCCCUGUCGUCUCAACUCAGCUUCACUCCUCUCGGCCUGGUUUAGCUCCACUCGUCUCGACGUGACGCCACCACCUCAACUCGCCCGACACACUCGCUGUAUCCGCUGCCUCCCUGCCCAGACACCCUCUUGUCUUCAGGAGAGAGAUGCUCAGACCUCGUUCCUUCCCCUGCGUGCUCCCAGCCUAGCCGGGGACUCUGACAUGUCCCUUCAGCAGGUGCUGUGACGGGGAAGUGAGCCAUGUCUGGCCGCCCUAGGGAGCCCCGGAUGAUCCCCCACAGGAGGAGGAGUUAGCUCAGGCAGAAUAGUGGGAGGAAGGACACUCUGGGCAAAAGGAGCAGCAUGUGCAAAGGGCCUGAGGCAGGGUGGACGGAACGCUUGGAGGCCUGGAGGUCGUUCAGGCUGGAGGGCAGAGGGGGAAGGGAGGGUGGUGCAAGAGGAGGCUGGGGAUGUGCGCAGUCCCCUUGUGGGGACUGUGUUCUGGGGACAGUGGGGAGCUGCGGCCGUGUGGAGCAGAGGAGAAAUGUGAUUGGAAGGAUCCCUCUGGUUGCAGGGAGGAAGUGGAGCCGAGAGGCGGGACUGGACUUGUCGGGCAGCACUGAGCUGAGAGGUCCAGCACUAGGGUGUCUGUGGGGGGCAGCCGGCGGGGGGAGCUUAAAGAAGGAAUUCAGGAAAUGAGUCAGAAAGAACGACCACUCUACCGGGCCUUCUCUCCUUGCCUUGCACAUGGGAACCGAGUUCAUUCUCAUAGCACUCACGAGGGAGGUCUUACUAUUAACCCUAUUUUACAGAUGGGGAAACUGAGGCUCAGAUAGGCCAAGACAUGUGCGCAAGGCACACAGCUCCUAAGGGGCAGAGCUGGGAUCUGGCUCAGGCAUCGCUGCUCCGGAGCCCGCAGGAGCGGCUGGGCGUCCCCUCCAAGCUCCCAGGGUGGUGCUCCCUGCGGGUCUCUGCACCACACGGCAGGCGCUUGGGGAGUUCCUGCUCUGCCAGUUGCUGGGGAUUCAAAUCAUCAUCCCCGUUGGAGUUGGGAGUGCCUGUCCCCUUCAGAGGGAGACUGUUCUCUUGUCAUUUCACAGGAGAGGAAACUGAGGCCCAGCAUCACCCCUAGCAAGGGCUGGGGCUGGGGUUGGAGGCUCAGGUGGGAAACUGCUCUACAAACAGCAAAGUCAUCCUCCCUAGGACCUUCGGCCACUUGGACUUUGAAUCAGCCCACCUGUGGGCAUCGAGCAGGCCCUGCAAACGUGCUGGGGAGAUGCUCCACCCUUUUUCCCCCCGGUGCUCAGUUCUCCCAUGGCUGCCUGCUGUCCCGAGGAUGCACUUGGGGCUCCUCGCUGCAUCCCCAGAGGCUCUGCGUGAUCCCCA